UACGUAGGGGGCUAGCGUUGUCCGGAUUUAUUGGGCGUAAAGAGCGUGUAGGCGGCCUGGUAGGUCUGCUGUGAAAACUCGAGGCUCAACCUCGAGAUGUCGGCGGAAACCACUUGGCUAGAGUCCGGAAGAGGAGAGUGGAAUUCCUGGUGUAGCGGUGAAAUGCGCAGAUAUCAGGAAGAACACCUAUGGCGAAGGCAGCUCUCUGGGACGGUACUGACGCUGAGACGCGAAAGCGUGGGGAGCGAACAGG
rnacentral:rRNA from 1 species